UACGUAGGGUGCAAGCGUUGUCCGGAAUUAUUGGGCGUAAAGAGCUCGUAGGCGGUCUGUUGCGUCGGCUGUGAAAACCCGGGGCUCAACUCCGGAUCUGCGGUGGGUACGGGCAGACUAGAGGUAUGCAGGGGAGAACGGAAUUCCUGGUGUAGCGGUGAAAUGCGCAGAUAUCAGGAGGAACACCGGUGGCGAAGGCGGUUCUCUGGGCAUUACCUGACGCUGAGGAGCGAAAGUGUGGGGAGCGAACAGG
rnacentral:rRNA from 1 species